AUUGAACGCUGGCGGAAUGCUUUACACAUGCAAGUCGAACGGCAGCACGGGGCAACCUGGUGGCGAGUGGCGAACGGGUGAGUAAUACAUCGGAACGUGCCCAAUCGUGGGGGAUAACGUAGCGAAAGUUACGCUAAUACCGCAUACGAUCUACGGAUGAAAGCGGGGGAUCGCAAGACCUCGCGCGAAUGGAGCGGCCGAUGUCAGAUUAGGUAGUUGGUGGGGUAAAGGCUCACCAAGCCGACGAUCUGUAGCUGGUCUGAGAGGACGACCAGCCACACUGGGACUGAGACACGGCCCAGACUCCUACGGGAGGCAGCAGUGGGGAAUUUUGGACAAUGGGCGCAAGCCUGAUCCAGCCAUUCCGCGUGCAGGAUGAAGGCC
rnacentral:rRNA from 1 species